GGGGUGUAUAGCUCAGUGGUAGAGCAGUCGAUUGAGGAUCGGCUGGUCCCCGAUACAAACCCGGGUGCCCCCG